CGGGCGGCAUUAGUGACAGGUAUAGGCAGGUAACAGGGGUUGAAUUAGUGACAGGUAUAGGCAGGUAACAGGGGCUGAAUUUGUGACAGGUAUAGGCAGGUAACACGGGCGGCAUUAGUGACAGGUAUAGACAGGUAACACGGGCGGCGAUUAGUGACAGGUAUAGG